rnacentral:rRNA from 1 species
GAUGAACGCUGGCGGCGUGCUUAACACAUGCAAGUCGAACGGAAAGGCCCAAGCUUGCUUGGGUACUCGAGUGGCGAACGGGUGAGUAACACGUGGGUGAUCUGCCCUGCACUUCGGGAUAGGCCUGGGAAACUGGGUCUAAUACCGGAUAGGACCACAUUUUGGAUGGUGUGGUGGAAAGUUUUUCGGUGUGGGAUGAGCUCGCGGCCUAUCAGCUUGUUGGUGGGGUAAUGGCCUACCAAGGCGUCGACGGGUAGCCGGCCUGAGAGGGUGUACGGCCACAUUGGGACUGAGAUACGGCCCAGACUCCUACGGGAGGCAGCAGUGGGGAAUAUUGCACAAUGGGCGCAAGCCUGAUGCAGCGACGCCGCGUGGGGGAUGACGGCCUUCGGGUUGUAAACUCCUUUCGCUAGGGACGAAGCGCAAGUGACGGUACCUGGAGAAGAAGCACCGGCUAACUACGUG